rnacentral:misc_RNA from 1 species
UCCCUUCUAUCAGUAGUGUGAAUUGCAGAAUUCAGUGAAUCAUCGAAUCUUUGAACGCACAUUGCGCCCCUUGGUAUUCCAUGGGGCAUGCCUGUUCGAGCGUCAUUUGUACCCUCAAGCUCUGCUUGGUGUUGGGUGUUUGUCCCGUCUCCGCGCGUGGACUCGCCCCAAAGUGAUUGGCAGCCGGCGUACUGGUCCCGGAGCGCAGCACAUGUCGCGCAAACGAGUGCCUUGGUACGGCGGCGUCCAUAAGCCCCUCUCUCACGCUCUUGACCUCGGAUCAGGUAGGGAUACCCGCUGAACUUAAGC